AGAGUUUGAUCCUGGCUCAGGAUAAACGCUGGCGGUGUACAUAAGACAUGCAAGUCGAACGGGAGAAGACUGGAAGAUUUAUCUACUAGUUGGACACCGUGGCGGACGGGUGAGUAACACGUAAGCAACCUGCCUAUAAGAGGGGAAUAACAGUGAGAAAUUACUGAUAAUACCGCAUAAGCUGGAGGUAUCGCAUGAUACAUUCAGAAAAGAUUUAUCGCUUAUAGAUGGGCUUGCGUCUGAUUAGCUAGUUGGUGAGAUAACAGCUCACCAAGGCGACGAUCAGUAGCCGGAUUGAGAGGUUGAACGGCCACAUUGGGACUGAGACACGGCCCAGACUCCUACGGGAGGCAGCAGUCGGGAAUAUUGCACAAUGGAGGAAACUCUGAUGCAGUGACACCGCGUAUAGGAAGAAGGUCUUAGGAUUGUAAGCUAUUGUCGUGUGAGAAGAAAAUGACCAUCACAGGAGGAAGCCCUGGCUAAAUAUGUGCCAGCAGCCGCGGUAAUACAUAUGGGGCGAGCGUUAUCCGGAUUUAUUGGGUGUAAAGGGUGCGUAGGCGGGAAAAUAAGUCAGUAUGUGAAAUCCCUCGGCUCAACUGAGGAACUGCAACUGAAACUAUUUUUCUUGAGUGUUGAAGGGGAAAGUGGAAUUCCUAGUGUAGCGGUGAAAUGCGUAGAGAUUAGGAGGAACACCAGUGGCGAAGGCGACUUUCUGGGCAACAACUGACGCUGAGGCACGAAAGUGUGGGGAGCAAACAGGAUUAGAUACCCUGGUAGUCCACACCGUAAACGAUGGAUACUAGGAGUUGGCAAAAAUAUUGUCGGUUCCGCAGUUAACGCAUUAAGUAUCCCACCUGGGGAGUACGACCGCAAGGUUAAAACUCAAAGGAAUUGACGGGGGCCCGCACAAGCAGUGGAGUAUGUGGUUUAAUUCGAUGCAACGCGAAGAACCUUACCAGGGCUUGACAUAUACAGGAAUAUAUAAGAGAUUAUAUAGCUCUACGGAGUCUGUAUACAGGUGGUGCAUGGUUGUCGUCAGCUCGUGUCGUGAGAUGUUGGGUUAAGUCCCGCAACGAGCGCAACCC
rnacentral:rRNA from 1 species